UUUCUGUUUACCGAAAGAGUCACGACAUACUUUGAUCUCGUUCACGUUUCAACUGGCAUCUUCACAUCGAGGUCGUGCAGACGACAAACGGCCAGCCAGCGAUUGCAUCUUAUCAAUCGGAAACGCUCCAACGUUGUAGGAGAUACGCAGCGUGGAUAGACUUUGAAAUCAGCUCGAGAUCGUUAUCGAUGAAAACAGAGGGAAACCCAGUAAUAGAUAAGCCACACACACAAAUUAAUUAUAAAUAACUCGGUAAUGUAU